AGUGACUGUUGGAUGUGAUCGCAGGUUUCUAUCUGUCAUCUCUCUGAGAGCAUGGGGAAAGCUAGCCUUCUGAGCAGGGAGCCGGGGAUGGACUGUGUGUCCGCAUAACAUUCAGCAGCUCGUUAGCGGCAGUAACAACUGUACACUAAGAGAAGAGGUGGCUGACUGUGACGGCCGGUGUAACUCGAUGGCCUCCCUGUUAACUGAGCUGGAGGUGUUGACGAUUAUGUUCUCUCUCCUGGUUUUCGCCCUCUUCACUCUUACUGGAAUGCUCAAAGAGGAAUGUGCGCACUCUGAUGAGGAUAAUGUGAAUCCACAGAGUGAGGAGGUGACAGUCUGACUUCCGACAAGACCUGGGAGUCAGAUCUCAGAUACUGCAGAGGGAACCAGCAACUCCUUCUCGCCGUUCAGUACAACAACGUAUUAAACACAGCCUCGUGUCUGUGUGUGUGUUCUCAGUUAAGAGCACAAGUCAAAGUCUAAAUGGUGACCUCUGAA